AGAUCAUUCACGUUCAUAGCUGUCUUGGCUGAAGUCUCCAUAAACAAUAAGCUGUUGUCAUCUGCAUACGCCUGGGCCUCCUGCAAGGGGAUUUCCGUUCCAGAGAGCUAAAAAGGCCAGCUCCACAAUCAGGUCUCUAGAUCUCCCUUCAAAAAGCCUCACUACACACUGAACCUCCUCUUUCCCUGAGGAGCUUGGAAAGCUGGUGGUAGAAGAGGAGACAGAGACAGAAGUGGAGACUUCUGAGAGUCUAAUCAUCCAAACCUGAA